GUUAUGGGUCCAGUUACAAAAGCCCCGAUAUCGGGGUUUUUUGUUAUUUGAUAAUCGAAUUAACUGGGCUAUAUGCCCUUUUUUU
rnacentral:sRNA from 1 species